AGAUUGAACGCUGGCGGCAUGCCUUACACAUGCAAGUCGAACGGCAGCACGGGAGCAAUCCUGGUGGCGAGUGGCGAACGGGUGAGUAAUACAUCGGAACGUGCCCAAUCGUGGGGGAUAACGCAGCGAAAGCUGUGCUAAUACCGCAUACGAUCUACGGAUGAAAGCAGGGGACCGCAAGGCCUUGCGCGAGUGGAGCGGCCGAUGGCAGAUUAGGUAGUUGGUGAGGUAAAGGCUCACCAAGCCUUCGAUCUGUAGCUGGUCUGAGAGGACGACCAGCCACACUGGGACUGAGACACGGCCCAGACUCCUACGGGAGGCAGCAGUGGGGAAUUUGGACAAUGGGCGCAAGCCUGAUCCAGCCAUGCCGCGUGCAGGAUGAAGGCCUUCGGUUGUAAACUGUCUUUUGUACGGAACGAAAGGUCCUUACGUAAUAAGGGCUCGAUGACGGUACGUAAGAAUAAGCACCGGCUAACUACGU
rnacentral:rRNA from 1 species